rnacentral:rRNA from 1 species
AUUGAACGCUGGCGGCAGGCCUAACACAUGCAAGUCGAGCGGGGUUUUCGGACCUAGCGGCGGACGGGUGAGUAAUGCGUAGGAAGCUACCCGAUAGAGGGGAUACCAGUUGGAAACGACUGUUAAUACCGCAUAAUGUCUACGGGUGAAAGUGGGGGACCGCAAGGCCUCACGCAGAAAGAUGAGCCGACGCCCGAUUAGCUAGUUGGUGAGGUAAAGGCUCACCAAGGCGACGAUCGGUAGCUGGUCUGAGAGGAUGAUCAGCCACACUGGGACUGAGACACGGCCCAGACUCCUACGGGAGGCAGCAGUGGGGAAUAUUGGACAAUGGGCGCAAGCCUGAUCCAGCCAUGCCGCGUGUGUGAAGAAGGCCUUCGGGUUGUUAAAGCACUUUGUCCGGUAA